rnacentral:rRNA from 1 species
UACGGAGGGUGCAAGCGUUAUCCGGAUUCACUGGGUUUAAAGGGUGCGUAGGCGGGUAUAUAAGUCCGUGGUGAAAGCUCCGGGCUUAACUUGGAAACUGCCAUUGAUACUGUAUAUCUUGAAUGUCGUUGAGGUUAGCGGAAUGUUGCAUGUAGCGGUGAAAUGCUUAGAUAUGUUACAGAACACCAAUUGUGAAGACAGCUAACUAAGCGAUGAUUGACGCUGAGGCACGAAAGGGUGGGGAGCAAACAGG